rnacentral:rRNA from 1 species
CCAGACUCCUACGGGAGGCAGCAGUGGGGAAUAUUGCACAAUGGGGGAAACCCUGAUGCAGCGACGCCGCGUGAGUGAAGAAGUAUUUCGGUAUGUAAAGCUCUAUCAGCAGGGAAGAAAAUGACGGUACCUGAUUAAGAAGCCCCGGCUAACUACGUGCCAGCAGCCGCGGUAAUACGUAGGGGGCAAGCGUUAUCCGGAUUUACUGGGUGUAAAGGGAGCGUAGACGGCAGCACAAGUCUGGAGUGAAAUGCCGGGGCUUAACCCCGGAACUGCUUUGGAAACUGUGCAGCUAGAGUGCAGGAGAGGUAAGUGGAAAUCCUAGGGUAGCGGUGAAAUGCGUAGAUAUUAGGAGGAACACCAGUGGCGA